ensembl:lncRNA
CUGCCAGUAAAUAAAAAUGGCAUGUCGAUGUCUUGCUUUUCCCCACCUUCUUGGAGGGGUAUUUUAGCUCUGAGUGCAUAGCUGAGCACUCUGAAAAGCAUUCCGGAUGAGCAGCAUGUCGACUUAUGCCACGUUAUGGAAAGAGGUUGCUGUUUGCUGGUGGGCAGCUGUAAUUUGAGUCACGUGUGUGGGUUUAUUAGGCAUGGCUUCAGACAAACAGAGGGACUCAUUCCCUAUUUUACAGCCCAAGUGGUAUAAAAAUAACUUAAAAAGGGCUGGUGGUGGCUGGGCCUCUGGCUGCCAUGGGGCUGAGAGGAAGGGAUGCAUGUGUGGCUGUGCUGCACUGUGUGGGGUCUCACCUUCUGCUGUUUCCAUAGCACUAAGCUCUUACAUGGCCGGUAGAACUCAGGGCCAUUUGAGAAACCAUUGCUGAUAACCAAAAGGUUCAGGAGGUUUUAAUACGUUUAAGAGGGAAGGAAGGGAUAAGAGCUAAAUCUGGAAAUACGUAAAAGCUUGAUUCAACUGUGUGGCUGUAACUGCAGCUAUCAGAAAACCUACCUUUAUGAAGAAAAUGAAAUGCUGUUGCUGCUAUGUAAAAAUGUUCCUUUCCAAAAAUUCAGCAGUCUGCAAACGGAGAGGAAGUCAGGCCAAUAAACAAAAUCAGAUAAAAUGGAUUUUAUUCUGCCAACUGUUGAUGUAAUGAAAUAAUGAGGAAAAAUGCUGUAAACAGCACUUGUUUUAAAACACUGAAUCUCCAAAUCUAACUUUUCUUUUAAUUGGACUGUCAGGAUGGUGAGACCUCACAGUGCUUACAGGCACCCAUGAAAAACUCAAAAGGGAGAGAAGAAAUUCAUUAAAGCAGCUAAUUUCUAGCACAGUGCUGGUCUGUCUGUCCCUUUCUCCCUAUCAAUAUAAAUCGUAAGACUGAUUCCUUACUGCAAAACACUCUUUGUUACCAGUGGGUAGCUUGUUCCCUUUGAGUAGUGCUGAUAAAAUGUUCACCCUUGCUAAAGGGAGGGAAAAACCCCUCUGCUGUCAUGUGGGAACCAGAGCAAUUUGUGUGAGGCUUGUGUGUGAGGCCUUGGGCAUAAAAGGGUUAAGGAUAUCUGCAGGAAGUGUUCUUGAGAGGUUGCAUCAUCGCUUCAGUUUUAGUUUAUUAUGAUUUCUAUGUGUACACAAUUUAGCUUAGCACUAAUGUGUUGCCAUUUGACUAAUUAAAGUUGGGCCAACUGCACAGUGUCAGGUUGUGGAUUCUCCUGCUAAUUGCAUUGAGCUUUCUACCUGUUAAUUUAUUAAGAUAAAUAUUUUCAGAAGGCUUUGAUAAUUAUUAGCUAUUUGUGAAUUGUGCCUCUCACCUGUCACCAUCCUCUCAGCUUAUGUGUUCCCAAAACAGGAGGUUGGAGCAUUAUUCCCUACAACAUCCUGAUAACGUGCCAAGCAUGAGAUCUGAGAGAGAAAAUGAAGCUGGUAAUUGGAACUGCCUAAAAGUAGGGCAGGACUGGGUGUAGGCAGAGCAUCGGGUUGGGGGGAGUGUGCUCUGAUCCCAGCUCUCCCACUGCCUAUCGAUGUGAUCUCAUACUGAUUGUAUCAGACUUUCAGGGCUCAAUUCAGUAUCACAAAAAUCAAGAUCAUGGCACUGUUUGCAUUGCUCAGCGACACAUAACCUGGAUUGAAGGGUGCUGUGCUGAAUUAGAGACCUUUCAACAUAGCCCCGAGGUGGCAAGAAGGAAAAGCUUGGGCUGAGCCCAUCAGGGAGUACAGAGGUGACACUGCUGUUGUAGUGCAUGAUUGGAGACUGCUGCUCAGAACUAUGAGCCUCGUAAAUUUGUUGUGCAUACUAUGUAACAAGGCUGAAAUCUUCUGUAGACCAUGCUGUAAUGCCAGCACUAGCUACAGGGAGAUGUCUACACUCCUGUUCUACGGGUGUGAUGCUCUGACACAGUGCACACACCCAUAGUUGAUGUGAAAUUCAUUUCCAGUUGUGUGGAGAUGGAUUGAGGUUUGUGAGUACCAGAGAUGUUCUGUGGGACCUCGAACUUUCUUUAACUGCAUCCUCUUCCACCUUUGCUAGAGCCUGCAGUUUCAACUGCAUAACAGCAUUAAAAUUGACUUUGGAAUUAAUUUUAAAUAGAUGAAAUACUUGUGUCUUAGAAUCUUAUAGCAAAUGCCCAUAAUCUGGCGUAGCAAUUUUCUUUGAUUUCCAUCUUAAAUAUCUUCACGUAGAUAAGGGGUGUUUUGUACCCAUUCUUAAGAAACAGGCUCAGGGAUGGGUUAUGAAGAAACUUUUCUUGCCUGGCUUCUGCCGUGUGUUUUUUUGUUCCUUUCCAGCAGCAGCAGAACUGAAGACUUACGUGACUGAUGGAUUCAUUCAGGGCAUCUCGGAGGCAAAACCCUCACACCCAUUGCCAGCAGCCUGUGUGUGUGUGUGUGUGUUUGUGUGUGCUCAGGACCCUGGCAGCUCUCGGUGAGUGACAACGUGCUGUCGCUGUCAUCUGCACACGUGUGCAAUAUUAAUAACUGCUUCAGUGACCUUCACGUUUUCUUUCUAUGUGUCUCAGUAGAACUGAAGCAAUACACAAUUUUCCACAAGAAAUUACAGGCGAGUGGCUUAACGGAGAAAUCCACCCCCUCGUUUCCACUACCCUGUACAAAUAUUUCUAGAGCUGCUGGUGAACUUGUGCACAGUAAUGCACCGAGAGCAGCUUUCCAGGGUGGGAGCGCAGCCCAAGCCCUUGGGAUUGAUCCUGGGGAUCAGUGCCUUUUGUGGGAAACGGGCAGUGUGCUUUAUUCCCCACCCAGCUCUCAUCUCUUCAAGGCCAGGCUGGAUGUGGCUCUG